rnacentral:rRNA from 1 species
AUGCUUGUGCCGCAGGGCAUCAACAUGAAGGAGAUCACAACGACGAAGAAGAAGACGAAGAAGCUGUCGGUUGUCGUUAGUGCUGGCGAGACCGACGAGGAGGCGAUGGCGAGGUUUUCUCAGGAGCAUCCGGAGUAUGUCCAGGCCGAGCUGGAGUACUACUGGAAGCGUGAUGCGGAGCAGAAGAAGAAGGGGCCAAAGAAGGAGGACGAGGCCGGUCCCUCGACGGUGAUCCCCAUGGAGUCCUCUUCCGAGGAGGACUGGGCAGACUUCUCGGACGAGGAGGAGGAGGAGGGGUGCGACGACCCGACGAAGGAGGAGUUCUGGGCGUAG